rnacentral:tRNA from 1 species
GCUCCAGUAGCUUAAUUAAAGCGUUGUUCUUGUAAACCAAAGACGGGUUCACCCCUAGAGCA